GCUCUCUGCCCUCCCCCACCCCCCUCCCUUCGGGCGCGAUCGGAGCGCUCGGCCCGGUUCGGUCGCUUUCGGGCGUACUCGGGCAGUGCCCGUUCGGGCGUCUCCGUUCGGGAUUACGAAGGGGAAUUCGGGCGCGAUCGGAGAGCACUCGGCACAGCUCGGCUUUCCUCGCGCCCGCCUCACCCGCCUUCGGGCGGGAUCGGAAAGGACUCGAGCCGAUUCGGGAUUCUUCGACCCUCCGGGCCGGACCGCUCGGGGACUCGGCCCUGUUCGGGCGGACUCGGGUUUCCCACCCGAUCUGUCAGGUAUCGCUUCGGGCCGCGCUACUACGGACUCGGCCGAGCUCGGCUCCCGUCCUGCGCUCGGAUUGGCCAGCCGGGAGGAAACGCGGGCCGAGCUCGACGGGAGCCACCGAUUGCCUUCGGACGAGGCCUAGCAGGACUCGGGAGACUUCGGGCACGAUCGGAAGCGGUUCGGAAGCGCCCGAUUCCGCCGCGGGGAACACGUUCGGAACCGUUCGGGCGAGCUCGGCACCGCUCGGCUGCCCAGCCGGGAGCGCUCGGGUGACCUCGGGGGAUCGCCCCCCCCGCCCCCGGGAGCCUCCCCCCCCCCCGUCUCGAGCCGCGCUCGGGGGGAGAACGGCGGGGGCCGGCUACCCCUCGCCCCCCGGCGCCGGCCGCCUCGCAUGGAGGACGCCGACUCGGCGGCGAAGCAGUUGGGCUUAGCGGAGGCGGCGGCAGUGGCGGCGGCGGCCGCAGCUGCAGCGGCGGCCGCGGAAGCAUCCGAGCAGCAGCAGCAACAGCAGCAGCAGCAGCAACAAGCCGCGGCACCGGAGGCGGAGCCCGAGGAGGAGGAGGAGGAGGAAGAGGCGGCGCAGGUGGCGGCAGUGACCGUGAUGGCGGCAGAAGCCGAACACAUCGAGAUGGGAGCCGAGUCCCUGCCGAGCGCCGACGAGGCCGCCGCCGCCGCCGCCGCCUUCGCAGAAGUCACCACAGUGACAGUAGCUAAUGUGGGUGCCUCUGCAGACAAUGUUUUCACUACAUCUGUGGCAAAUGCAGCUUCAAUUUCAGGACAUGUGCUGUCUGGGAGAACGGCCCUCCAAAUUGGGGACAGCUUGAAUACUGAAAAAGCCACUCUCAUAGUGGUUCACACAGACGGCAGCAUUGUAGAAACCACAGGGUUGAAGGGGCCAUCAGCACCUCUCACACCAGGACCGCAGUCUCCCCCCACCCCUUUAACGUCUGCCCAAGAAAAGACUGGAACCAAGUAUAACUGGGACCCGUCUGUGUACGACAAUGAGCUCCCAGUGAGGUGUCGGAAUAUCAGUGGGAUUCUGUAUAAAAACAGGCUCGGCUCAGGAGGCCGUGGUAGGUGCAUUAAGCAAGGGGAUAACUGGUACAGCCCCACUGAAUUUGAAGCCAUGGCAGGAAGAGCCAGCAGCAAAGACUGGAAAAGGAGUAUCCGCUAUGCUGGGAGGCCAUUGCAGUGCCUUAUUCACGAUGGGAUUUUAAAUCCUCACGCUGCCUCUUGUACUUGCGCUGCCUGCUGCGACGACAUGACCCUGAGUGGCCCUGUACGACUCUUUGUACCGUACAAAAGGCGGAAAAAAGAAAAUGAAAUGCCUGCAACUCCAGUGAAAAAGGAUUGCCCCAAAAAUAUAACCCUGCUCCCUGCUACAGCUGCUACUACAUUCACCGUGACUCCUUCUGGACAGAUCACUACCUCCGGUGCUCUGACCUUUGACCGUGCAUCGACAGUGGAAGCCACAGCAAUUAUCUCGGAAAGUCCAUCCCAAGGUGAUGUUUUCACUGGAGCCACUGUUCAGGAUACCAAUGUCCAGCAGCCUUGCCGGGUCAGUCACCCAGAACCUCACUAUCCAAGUUACCAGGACAACUGUCAGAUUUCACCUUUUCCUGAAGCUGCCCUGCCAACAUCUCAUCCAAAAAUUGUGCUGACCUCACUCCCUGCCUUGGCGGUGCCCCCCACUACCCCUACCAAAGCCAUAUCCCCUUCGGUGGUGAAUGGGCUGGAAGUGACCGAGCAGCGAAGCUGGCUGUACUUGGAAGAGAUGGUUAAUUCAUUGCUCAACACAGCCCAGCAACUGAAGACUCUCAUUGAACAGGCUAAACAGGCCAGCUCCUCCUUCCGCGAGGCUGCUGUCACGCAGGCGAAAAUUCAAGCUGAUGUGGAGAGGAAAGAGGCAUGAGUGUGCAGCAAGAGACCUUGAAGAAAUGUGUGUGGGAAGACUUUGCUGAGAGCUGAGAACCCCUAUGACAGUCCUUGCAGCGUCUUUGAUAUUCUUUGCCACGUUGUCUCUGCUAAACUCUUCUGUACGCUGCAUCCUUGAUGUGCAGUGGUUUCUGGAACAGCUGUUCAGUGUCCGUUCCCCCUCUGAUCCAAAUCCAGCUGAGGCAGAGUGUACUUACUUCAGUGUACUCAUAGUUUCUUCUUGUCCCAGGAAUGGGAGUUAAAAUCACUCCUGUGUACUGAUUAAAGUGCUGGCUUUACAAGGCAAGGAUGAGCAUGUGUUUGUUUCCAGAGGACGUCCUUUUCUCAGUAACUUUUGAAUCCCCAGCUAAACGAUUUAUGCCUCUUACCAUUCCUAUUUUGUACCAAACCUGUUUUGGUUCCUCAAUGGCUCAGUAUUUUGAUAAACUCUCUUGGUGAUGAUGGUAUUUUUUUGUAUCCAAAUAACAAUUGUCAAGCAUGCUGCUUUGUGCCAGCAUUUGCAACCAUCUGGGUAUACUGCAGGUAGCUAUUUCUGAAUACCAUCCACUGAAAAUUCAAUUUUUGGAAAAACCUCUGGGUUUCUGGGUACAGGACUGGCAUUUGAAGUAACUAUAAUAAAUGUCAAAUAAUUGGCUGUCCGCUUUUGUGUUGCUUAAAGGUGCUUUUCUGAUUUCAUGAGCGUUUCCGUGAUUUGUAACACAAGUCUCUUUCCCACCAUGUUUGUCUCUGAUGAUGACUGCUUUUUUGACACUUUAGGUAUAUGAGAAGGGGGAAUAGGAAUAAACCUACCUUUUUUGUUGAUGAUUUUUGCUGGACAAGUUUAAUACAAAGGAAAUAGGCGCUUUAUCAGUAUUUUGUAUUUGUUAUGUCCACAGAACUCCUAAGGGCUAAUGAACAGGUGGAGGGCACCUGCCACCUUUUUUCUUUGCAUUAACAGGGACAGUGGAUGCAGCAGUGUGGGCACUUCCAUGUAAGAGUACUACCAGUUUGCAGAUUUUCUGUGUUCUAUGUUCCUACGUAUUUAGAAAUGAAAGAUUGUUUCAUUAUGUCAGAGCUGUAGAGCAAAGGCUGUACAACAGAUUAAAUUAUAAUAGAGCUGUAGAUUCAGCUCUUCCUGGAAGAAUGAUUUAAUACAUAGCGGGAUUAAAGAAAUCUGCUAGUUCCCAACCGCAUACACAAACUUCAUUGCCGUGUUUGUAAAUAACAGGUAUCUUAACUUCCUACAGUGGUGCAGGACUGUUUCCCCAGUUCAGCACCUUGUCUCUUGAACUAGUGUUCAAGCAUUUUUGAUCUAGUGACUGCCAGCUCUGGCCCUGUUCAUCUAGCAUCCCUGCUAAAGAGGGAGAUAGCCUAUAAGGUCUAACAGAGGAGCAAGGCAAAGAGACUGGGACAGCAGUGUCUUUACCUGCCCUUCAGAGAGUGCCUGAAGCAGCCCCAAGUUUAAGCAGAGUAGAGAACAAGUGGUGAGAAGAGCAAGCAGGAAAACUUCCUUAUGUGCUACUUCUGUCUUAGUCUUCCUAGAAAACAAUAAAUUAAGAAGCGUUAAGAAUUGUUUAUCACUUAGUUAUAUGCCUUAUUGUAUAUUGUGUAUCACUUAUUAUAUUGCAUUUCACUUAUUUUAUUAUACUUAUUAUUUAAUGAGCUUUGGAGCUCAUUAAGCAUCACAAACAAAGCAAACUGCGUCCAUAUAGCAGCGGUUUAAUAUAAGCUUAAAAUACAAGAAGUUGUACUCUGUACUGAGCAGUGCUAUGUGCUUGUGGGAUCUACAGAACUCCUAACUGUGAGAGGCAGGCUUUUACUUCUAGUUUUCUUAGAGCAGUGGAGGGAUUUGUACAGACUGUAAGCUUAUGUUUGUUAUGUGUGAAGUCAAAGAGCAGACAUCACUAUUGCACUUUCUGGUCACGCUUGCUAAUGGUAUUUUCCAGGACUAUUCAAUGGAGUCUGAGGAAUAUAUUAUUCCCCUUAUUUAUAGAAUUUCUGAAAGUGGAAAUGCCAACAUUAGAGAGGAAUUUUGGCAGGAAGAGGAUCUGCUAAAAGGAGCAAAUAAAAAAAAAUAAUGAGCACAAUAUAAAUUGGAAGCAUCUACGGUCAGAUUUCUUUCUUAAGGUGGUAUGUCUAAUAUGAAUUUUGCAGGAAGAUUGAAUCCCUUACUGCAGUCCCAAACACAUGGCAAUACCUGGAUACGAAGUACUCAAAAUUAACAGGAUGACUGAAUUGGAAGACACUGAGAAUUUAGAAAGAAAAAAAAAGCAUUGAGCUGUAAAGUAAUGGAAUAUAAAUGUAUAUCUUCAUCUAUAAUUAGAAAAAAUAUUGGAAAAUACAUCUGUCUUUCAUUCUUUUCUUAUAUCUGACAUGAAGUUUUUGUUUACUCUGCCUCACUACUAGUAUUAUGAAUGUUACAGUUACACAAUGCUUUGUGUAAGGGUUUUGUGUUAUCCUUACCUAUCCUGAAGAAACUGUAGGUCACAAAUUCCAAGCACUGGAACUGAAGGCUUCACUGACGUAGUUUUCUCACACAUAAUUUUGUCAUUUGGAAGUCCUCAAAUGCACUCGGUUGCCAUCUUUGUCCUUUUAGUUUCUGUAAAUUUGUUUAAGGAUCAUGGUUUGGUGGGCAAACUUCAAGACUGAGGAUCUCUUCCAGAUUUUGUUUUCAGCUUCGCCACAAGUUACUUAGGUGCCCUCGGGUAAGUCCUUGGCCUCUCUGGGCCUCAGAGCCUGCUAUUUAAACUAAGAAUAGCACUUCCUUCACAGAGGGUUUGUCUACCAUUUUGCAAAGUGGUAGGAUAUCUGGGUAAAAGGCUUUGUAAAAGUACAAAGUGUCAACAAUAUAAGACCUUAAAAUAAGGACAGCUUGUAAAUCUGAAAAUUACAGUUCCAACAUUUAUGAGAAUAAUCUGUUUUUCAAUAAUUACAUUUGAAACAGAAUUGUUCAUAGAUUCCAAGGCAGGGGUUGAAAAGACCUUUUCUGUCUUGUUACUGUGUGCAGUAUCCCAUGUGCCUGUAGAGGGUGAGAACUCCUUAAUUAAAAAGCAGAGCCCUUGUAGUUCCAGAUAUGAAGAUGAAUCCUGUUUAAAAAACUUUAGUGGCCAUCAGCCAUGUGCUUUCCAUAUACAAGCAUUAGGCACAAGUGCAGUUGGUGCUCUGCCCAUGUAUGGCUUUCUGCUUGCAGAGUCACCACGUAUAUUUGUGUUACAUGAAAUCUCAGGAGGUGAUAUGCUGAAAAAAACCUCCACCAUAAACCCUGCAGUCCUGUGAUAAUACUAACUUUUUAAAAUGAAUCAUGCUUAUUACCAAAAAUAUUGCUGAAAAGCUUUUUAGAUGUUUUUCAUUGAAUGUAACUGCUCUGUCAGAAUUUCAUUCAGCUGUUCAUAGAAAGUUCUCUGCUAGCCUCAUUAAAUAACUUGUGAAUGAGUGUAUCUGAUCCUUUGGGUAUUGUCUUAAUUUUAGUUUUACUACAUUUUUUGAUUUAAAAAAAAAUUUAUGGAGAGGGUGAGCAGAUCAACAAAGGCUCAGUGUCUCUUACAAGAGAUAUUUGAUCACUUGCAGGAUUGGCCCAAAAGGAAUGGAUUAAAGACAGUAUUUUAUACAAAAGCCUAUGUGCUUUGAAAAUGUAAUUUUUUUGAGAGUGCAUUAAGCCAUCAUUUAUAUCAGAUGAACUUUAAGAAGGGGAAAAUAUGUAAACUCACCAAAUCAUGCGCCAGCAGACACUGCUGGAAGAUAAUAAAGACAUGCAGGAAAUGUGUUAAACAGUGUUCCUGUAUAAAUUAAAAAUAAUUGGUGUUGAAUUCUGACAGUUUUUUUAAACUGAAAUAGUCUUCUUUUUUAAUGCGGUGGUGUCUACAGGGCCCUGUCCAUUUGAAAACAAGGUAGAAGAUUAAAUCGCUUAACAGCUGGACCAUCUGAAUUCUUUUUUAGAAAGAUUAAAACAAUUCAGGGCUAGAGAGUACGAAAUUAACCUAAAAAGGGUUGGGCAUUUAAGAAAUGUAGCUCCAGUAGGCAAAUAACAGAUUAUACUCUCAAAAGCACCAGUGAAACCAGUUGAGAAUUGGAUGUUGGCAAGAGUUUUUCUGGAGAUGGUUUCGUGAGAGAUCUGGACAUGUCUGGCUUAAUCCUUCCUCUGAUCAUACCUUUUCCUUCUCCUUACUUUCUGAAUGCCUUGAAUUCUUCACACUGUGGGUCUUGCAUAACCAGAGGACUCACUGCUCAGAUGGAUAAAAAGAAGAUAGAAGAAGGUUAAGUACAUGUGUGGUUUCCACCAGUACAUUUCAGGGAUUGGGAGCAGAGAUGGAGGAGCUAUUGUGGCUCAGACAAGGAUAGUGGAUGGCUGAACUUCCUCUUGAUCUCUUUCUUGUUGGAAAUCUCCCAAGAAAACAGGAUUAGCCACGUUUAUAGAGGUUUAAGUGGAUUCUGAUGAUGGAAAGAGUUUCAAUUCUGGAACUAUGGCACUUUCUCAGAACUAAAAUUUGGUGUGUUCAUUGACAUGCAUGUGGCUCUGCACAGGCUAUUGCAGAAAGGACUUUACUGGCAGGGACUACGUAUGCAGUGAUUUUCUAGUUGUAUUUAAAUGCCAUCUAACCUCAUGCUUUGGUAUCCGUAUUUCUACCUUCCUCACCAAAAAGAAGUUUGGAAGCAUUUUGUAGUUUUCCUAGACCAUUUCUAUCCAGUUCUCUAAGUGUGGGUCAUUUGUCUUUCAUUUGCUAAUGGAAAGCUCAUUUCAACCUUUCCUGAAGAAUUUGCUGUUUUCUCCCAGCCCGAUUCUCUGCCUAGAUGCAGAGAAGUGACUGGAAGAGUGGCAGAGGGCAGAUGCUACAGCACAAAGCAUUGAGUCCCAGCUUCUCUGCUCCAGAUGCUCACUAAUAGUAAUAUCCUCUCAAGAAUCACAGUCAUUUUCUCCCUAAGACAUAAGAAGAUUGAUUCUUCUGCCAGAAGCCACAUCUCAAGCUUGCAGGUCUAUUUCCUGUCUUAAUGAGAAUGCUUUUGGCUUGGACAAAAUUUUGAUUUUCAAAGAGUAGCGUCAAAAUAAUAAUUUUGAAAUUUCAAUACACAUGAUAUACACUUAACUUUUACCUGCCCAAUACAUGAAGAGCUGAGGAUGCUGUGUUUGUGUUGCUAAUUAGUCUGGUCUUGCCUAUUAGUCUAAUAAUGGCAGAACCAAAUCAUAGCUCUUGUAUACAACAGGAGUAUUCUCUGCCUUCUUCUUCAUCUCCCUAGAGAGUUUUUUAAUUUAACUUUGUGUCAUGGUAACAUAAAGGUUUCAAAGGUUGUGAUUUCACAGGAGAAUAAAUACUGUGAUGUCAGGUCAUAGAGACACUCUGAAAUUAAGCCUUUAAUCUCCUUAUAUGUUGGGUCAUACUCCUGGGUCAACCUACUUUGCCUGAAGGUGUGGGUUGGUUUUUUUUUUUUUUCCUUUUUAACUCUUCCCAGUAGAACAGGGUUAGUAUGUAAUCAAAUUGGGCACAGUUUUGAAUUCCUUUGUUCUAUGAUCUUUGUUUCUCAGCAGAGUUGGCUGUUGAGCAUGGUAAUACUCAUGGUGGAGGAGCACUUGAUUGGACUCGUGAACUUGUUUGAAGUAAAGGUGCAACAUAUCUGAGGUGUGAACUGGUACAGACUCAGUUACUAUCCAGUAAUAAAUUGGAGGCAAAUUCACAUGUUCCUGAAACAGAAUCCCAGUUAUGGCUUAUCUUGAAAGACUGCUGCUUUUCCAACCCCACUGAAUUUGCCUAAUGUUUUAAUUGUGAAGAUUGAGCAUAAAUCCCUAGGUGCUCUGUACUCUGAAGAGAGAAGUUGGACUGACUGACUGACUGAUUGGCAGUAUUUCUGCUCCAGAGCAAACUAAAUUCCUUCAGCUUUAAAAUUCACUUCAGAGGACUGUUUAUUGUAUGCUUUUACCCUUUCAUUAAAAGGAAGAAUAAUGGUUAUGGUUGAUGAUGUCUUUAAAAAGUCUUGGGUAUGUUAAUUUUGUCCAUUUGUUUCCUAAUCCAAUCCCAUGUCUGUUGGGCUGUUCCAUCCUCCAGACUCUCUUUUGCCUUUUAGAGGGUUAGGAUCACUGGACUUGAACCAAAGUGGCCCAAGAAGGUGGCACUUUGGCUCUGUUGCCAUGGAAUUUUCCUCCAGUUUUCUUUGCUGACUUCUCAAUCUCUCAUGUGUGGGUUGAAGUCCUCUUGUACACAAUUAAGCCACCUGUUUAAAGAAUUAGAGUGCUCAGCCUGAUGGAGUGAGAGAGUGGGUUUUGAAUGAAUGGUGCAUUCAGCCGAUGGUUUGUCAUCUUGCUUCUCUAAAAUGGACCUUAUUCUUGAAGGCUUCUUCAUCUGUCUCCAAAUAAUGGCAUAGUGUCUCUUUGUUGUAAGGCAGCUCAAUGAUUCCUUCAGUGCUCUUCCAUAUAUAGUUUUGGGCUUGACAGAAGCAAGCUCUGUGGUAGGAUCCUCAAUGUAGUUCAUCCUUUUCAACUCCUUGUGUCAUAUGCUGGCUAUGAAUAACAAGUCUUGUGUAUUUUUCA